rnacentral:rRNA from 1 species
CAUGCAAGUCGAACGGCAGCACGGACUUCGGCCUGGUGGCGAGUGGCGAACGGGUGAGUAAUGUAUCGGAACGUGCCCAGUCGUGGGGGAUAACGUAGUGAAAAUUACGCUAAUACCGCAUACGAUCUAUGGAUGAAAGCGGGGGAUCGCAAGACCUCGCGCGAUUGGAGCGGCCGAUAUCAGAUUAGGUAGUUGGUGGGGUAAAGGCCCACCAAGCCAACGAUCUGUAGCUGGUCUGAGAGGACGACCAGCCACACUGGAACUGAGACACGGUCCAGACUCCUACGGGAGGCAGCAGUGGGGAAUUUUGGACAAUGGGCGCAAGCCUGAUCCAGCCAUUCCGCGUGCAGGAUGAAGGCCCUCGGGUUGUAAACUGCUUUUGUACAGAACGAAAAGGUUUCUACUAAUACUAGGAGCUCAUGACGGUACUGUAAGAAUAAGCACCGGCUAACUACGUGCCAGCAGCCGCGGUAAUACGUAGGGUGCAAGCGUUAAUCGGAAUUACUGGGCGUAAAGCGUGCGCAGGCGGUUAUAUAAGUCAGAUGUGAAAUCCCCGGGCUCAACCUGGGAACUGCAUUUGAGACUGUAUAGCUAGAGUACGGCAGAGGGGGAUGGAAUUCCGCGUGUAGCAGUGAAAUGCGUAGAUAUGCGGAGGAACACCGAUGGCGAAGGCAAUCCCCUGGGCCUGUACUGACGCUCAUGCACGAAAGCGUGGGGAGCAAACAGGAUUAGAUACCCUGGUAGUCCACGCCCCUAAACGAUGUCACU